GAUAUACUCCCUCCGUCCGGAAAUACUUGUCGUAGAAAUGGAUGAAAGUGGAUGCAUCUAGAAUAAAAAUACAUCUAGAUACAUCCAUCUCUUCCACGAGUAUUUCCGGACGGAGGGACUAACAU
rfam:Triticum aestivum genome assembly, contig: Triticum_aestivum_CS42_TGACv1_scaffold_641418_T_2DL-0.185684_1BS-0.183711